UACAAAGCUUUCUAUCGUCCCUCUCCUUUUUCCUUCUUCCCUCUCUCUACUUCUUAGUGUCCAAGCUUUCCCAUGGAUAUCUCCAUCGAAUUCCAUCCCUGAAUCUAUGGAUUUAUCUCUAGUUCUCAGAAUACAUGGAUUUAUUGAAGUUCUGAGGUUUAAUGUUUAAGGUUUUAGGUUUAGGGUUUUAAUCCACCCUAACAUCUUGUCGAUCGGGUCCGCUCCGUCUCCUACAAUAUCUCUCUCCGGCGCGCGGCGACCUAGCCAACGCAUCGCAGCUGGAGAAGCAGUCCUCAGAAAUACACCAACAGCGCACUCGUUCUUGUCAACAAACUCAUUUCUUCUCUGAUCUGCGGUCCAGAAAACUGAACCCUAAAUCUAUGAGAGGGGAUAGAGCAAAGGAGCAAACAAUAUUUCAAUUGCAGUUUCAUUCCCUACAAAUUGCUCAAUUUCUGCAUCAAAUUAAUAUUUGGAAAUCCCGAUUUGAUAUUCUCACUGUCAUAAGAAAUAUUUUGAGAGCUGUUGGACAUUACUGUUGGACAUUGCAUCUUGGUAGAGGCCACUUGCAGGGCCGACAUGCAUAUAUUUAUCAAAGGCUUAUAGUUUAUUGUGCACUGAAUCUACCAGUAAUUCACUUAAGUCAAAAGGCAAAAGAAAGAGAGAUUUAUUUGUUCAAAGAGAGAGGGAGUUUUCAAGGACAAUGGGCAAGAAGAGGGAACAAAAAAACUCAAGGUAAUUCAAUGUAUGCUAAUGAUGGAUCUUUGCUUAACUUUGUUUGUUGGUGAUAGUUGUAUUGAUGGAUUAGAAAAUUGUUGAUGAUGGAUUUUUGAUUGUGAUGUAAUGUUGGAACAUUUGUAUGGAUUAUUUGUAUUAAUUUUUGGUAUGAAUGAAAUGAUGGAUAUUGGAUAUUUAAU